rnacentral:misc_RNA from 1 species
GAUGAAAACGUAGCGAAAUGCGAUAAGUAAUGUGAAUUGCAGAAUUCAGUGAAUCAUCGAAUCUUUGAACGCACAUUGCGCCCGCCAGUAUUCUGGCGGGCAUGCCUGUUCGAGCGUCAUUUCAACCAUCAAGCCCCCCGGCUUGUGUUGGGGACCUGCGGCUGCCGCAGGCCCUGAAAAGCAGUGGCGGGCUCGCUGUCACACCGAGCGUAGUAGCAUACAUCUCGCUCUGGGCGUGCUGCGGGUUCCGGCCGUUAAACCACCUUCAUAACCCAAGGUUGACCUCGGAUCAGGUAGGAAGACCCGCUGAACUUAAGCAUAUCAAUAAGCGGAGGA